UACGUAGGGAGCAAGCGUUGUCCGGAAUCAUUGGGCGUAAAGCGCGCGUAGGCGGCCCCGUAAGUCCGCUGUGAAAGUCAAAGGCUCAACCUUUGAAAGCCGGUGGAUACUGUGGGGCUAGAGUCCGGAAGAGGCGAGUGGAAUUCCUGGUGUAGCGGUGAAAUGCGCAGAUAUCAGGAGGAACACCAAUGGCGAAGGCAGCUCGCUGGGACGGUACUGACGCUGAGACGCGAAAGCGUGGGGAGCGAACAGG
rnacentral:rRNA from 1 species